GGCCGCGUGGCCUAAUGGCUAAGGCGCUAGAUUUCGGUCUCCUUUCCAAUUCUCUAGAGAUUCCAGGUUCGACUCCUGGCGUGGUCG
rnacentral:tRNA from 1 species